UUCGUCUCACGUGACUGGCGAAACGCCGGCAAAAGCCGGCCAAGAUGGGGAUCCAUCGGGAAGCGUGAGAUUUCAACAGCCGUGCGCCUGGGCAGCCGAA
rnacentral:ncRNA from 2 species